rnacentral:rRNA from 1 species
GAUGAACGCUGGCGGCGUGCCUAAUACAUGCAAGUCGAGCGAACAGACGAGGAGCUUGCUCCUCUGACGUUAGCGGCGGACGGGUGAGUAACACGUGGAUAACCUACCUAUAAGACUGGGAUAACUUCGGGAAACCGGAGCUAAUACCGGAUAAUAUAUUGAACCGCAUGGUUCAAUAGUGAAAGACGGUUUUGCUGUCACUUAUAGAUGGAUCCGCGCCGCAUUAGCUAGUUGGUAAGGUAACGGCUUACCAAGGCAACGAUGCGUAGCCGACCUGAGAGGGUGAUCGGCCACACUGGAACUGGGACACGGUCCAGACUCCUAAGGGAGGCAGCAGUAGGGAAUCUUCCGCAAUGGGCGAAAGCUUGACGGAGCAACGCCGCGUGAGUGAAGAAGGUCUUCGGAUCGUAAAACUCUGUUAUUAGGGAAGAACAAAUGUGUAAGUAACUAUGCACGUCUUGACGGUACCUAAUCAGAAAGCCACGGCUAACUACGUG